UCCGCCCGCUGGCGGCGUGCUUAACUCAUGCAAGUCGAACGGAAAGGCCCUGCUUUUGUGGGGUGCUCGAGUGGCGAACGGGUGAGUAACACGUGAGUAACCUGCCCUUGACUUUGGGAUAACUUCAGGAAACUGGGGCUAAUACCGGAUAGGAGCUCCUGCUGCAUGGUGGGGGUUGGAAAGUUUCGGCGGUUGGGGAUGGACUCGCGGCUUAUCAGCUUGUUGGUGGGGUAGUGGCUUACCAAGGCUUUGACGGGUAGCCGGCCUGAGAGGGUGACCGGCCACAUUGGGACUGAGAUACGGCCCAGACUCCUACGGGAGGCAGCAGUGGGGAAUAUUGCACAAUGGGCGGAAGCCUGAUGAAGCAACGCCGCGUGCGGGAUGACGGCCUUCGGGUUGUAAAACGCUUUCGCCUGUGACGAAGCGUGAGUGACGGUAAUGGGUAAAGAAGCACCGGCUAACUACGUG
rnacentral:rRNA from 1 species